rnacentral:rRNA from 1 species
AUUGAACGCUGGCGGCAUGCCUUACACAUGCAAGUCGAACGGUAACAGGUCUUCGGAUGCUGACGAGUGGCGAACGGGUGAGUAAUACAUCGGAACGUGCCCAGACGUGGGGGAUAACGAGGCGAAAGCUUUGCUAAUACCGCAUACGAUCUAAGGAUGAAAGCAGGGGACCGCAAGGCCUGGCGCGUAUGGAGCGGCCGAUGGCAGAUUAGGUAGUUGGUGGGAGAAAAGCUUACCAAGCCGACGAUCUGUAGCUGGUCUGAGAGGACGACCAGCCACACUGGAACUGGGACACGGCCCAGACUCCUACGGGAGGCAGCAGUGGGGAAUUUUGGACAAUGGGCGAAAGCCUGAUCCAGAAAUGCCGCGUGCAGGAUGAAGGCCUUCGGUUUGUAAACUGCUUUUGUACGGAACGAAAAGGCUCUGGCUAAUAACUGGGGCACAUGACGGUACCGUAAGAAUAAGCACCGGCUAACUACGUG